GACCCACUUAAGCAGCUGACUCAUCUGGCUGAACAAGUCAAAAGGGGAAAGAUGAAGAGAGCAAACAGCAGCUUCAGGAGGAGGAAUAGAUCCAUCUUCUGCAGGCAAAAAAAAACCCAACGGAAGUUGCCCAUCAAAUAAGAACGAUUCCAGCCUGCUUGUUGGAAGAGGGGUUUCUCCUUGUGCGCUUAACAAGGACUCACAUAGGCUGGGACACAACACUAUGGAAGAGGCCACGGAUAACUCAGAACUUCUCAAUGGCUGAUUCCACUUUUAGAAAAACGAGAGAUUCGGCUGCCUUGAACCAAACUGAGGAUCAAUGUCAGUGAGCACACAAUGGAUUAUAAAAGUGAUCUUGGGAAAAAGAGCAUGGCUGUUCUAAAGUGCUUUGGGGCUGCAUGGGUACAUCUGCCAUCAAAGCCCUCCUGCAUAUAGAAAGCAUAAAAACGCCAAAUUUAAAUGCUCCUUGAAUACCACAUUUUAUAAGCUACUGUCUGAUGAACAUUUCAAGGCCAGCCCUUCUUCUAAGAUACCCUGUGCAUUUAAUUAAAAAAAAAAACAAAAAAAGCAAAGAAAACAAUUCUACAAAUACUUUCAGAAUCAGUGCAAAAUAGCGAGGCGUCAACACUGGACAAACAAAACAGAAAGAAAUCAAUUAUCACAGUGAUACAAAAUAGCAACAAAUCAAUACUACAGUAAUCGCGCCGUAAUAAAUCAAAUUUAAUUUUUUCCUCUUAGAGUUGCUGUUAUUAUCAUUUAUCCAUUUGAGUUAAAAUGGGAUCUUCGUUUUGGCUCCUGGCCUAAAUAGUGGAUCAGGUUUUCACUGCAAUGCUUUCUUAUAGUAUUUUUGUGCUUUUAAGAGAAAGCUAAAUAAAUGUGUAACAGAGGAGUCAAAUUCAAUACCAAAUGUUAAUUUUGCAAUUUUUUUAAAAAAAGCUGUAUCCAAAAGGUUAAAUCUUUGAGAGAAACUUAAUUUUCUGGGUUUUUUUUUCAACAGCAGUAAAUUUCUCUGGUCAUCUUUAUUUAUAUUUCAUUUUUAUAGCAUCUACUUUACAGAAUAAAAAUAAAAAAAA